rfam:Sorghum bicolor cultivar BTx623 chromosome 5, whole genome shotgun sequence.
AUUCCAUAAUGGGGACAUUCUAGGAUGUAGUCUUGAAAGUGCUCCCAUGCUUCUAGAACAGAUUCAUCAUGUUGUUGCGGAAAACUUGUAAUUUUCGCACGGAGAGC